rnacentral:rRNA from 1 species
UGCCGCGUGAGUGAAGAAGGCCUUCGGGUUGUAAAGCUCUUUCGGCUGGGAAGAAAUCGCACAGGCUAAUACUCUGUGUGGAUGACGGUACCAGCACAAGAAGCACCGGCUAACUACGUGCCAGCAGCCGCGGUAAUACGUAGGGUGCGAGCGUUAAUCGGAAUUACUGGGCGUAAAGCGUGCGCAGGCGGUUGUGCAAGACAGAUGUGAAAUCCCCGGGCUCAACCUGGGAACUGCAUUUGUGACUGCACGACUAGAGUACGGCAGAGGGGGGUAGAAUUCCACGUGUAGCAGUGAAAUGCGUAGAGAUGUGGAGGAAUACCGAUGGCGAAGGCAGCCCCCUGGGCCGAUACUGACGCUCAUGCACGAAAGCGUGGGGAGCAAACAGGAUUAGAUACCCUGGUAGUCCACGCCCUAAACGAUGUCAACUAGUUGUUGGUAGGGUUAAACCUAUUAGUAACGUAGCUAACGCGUGAAGUUGACCGCCUGGGGAGUACGGUCGCAAGAUUAAAACUCAAAGAAUNUG